rnacentral:pre_miRNA from 1 species
UAAUAAUAUGUGUUCUUCCCAGAUGUAGCUUUUCUUGUUCCAAAUAAGUGAUUACCGAAAUUCAUGUUCCUCACAAGUGACUGCUGAACAACAGGUGCAACUAUAUGCAAAGGGCUGAAUAGAGGGUUAGGAACAAUCUU